AUUGAACGCUGGUGGCAGGCCUAACACAUGCAAGUCGAGCGGAUGAUGGGAGCUUGCUCCUGGAUUCAGCGGCGGACGGGUGAGUAAUGCCUAGGAAUCUGCCUGGUAGUGGGGGACAACGUUUCGAAAGGAACGCUAAUACCGCAUACGUCCUACGGGAGAAAGCAGGGGACCUUCGGGCCUUGCGCUAUCAGAUGAGCCUAGGUCGGAUUAGCUAGUAGGUGAGGUAAAGGCUCACCUAGGCGACGAUCCGUAACUGGUCUGAGAGGAUGAUCAGUCACACUGGAACUGAGACACGGUCCAGACUCCUACGGGAGGCAGCAGUGGGGAAUAUUGGACAAUGGGCGAAAGCCUGAUCCAGCCAUGCCGCGUGUGUGAAGAAGGUCUUCGGAUUGUAAAGCACUUUAAGUUGGGAGGAAGGGCAGUAAGUUAAUACCUUGCUGUUUUGACGUUACCGACAGAAUAAGCACCGGCUAACUCCGUGCCAGCCGCCGCGGUAAAAC
rnacentral:rRNA from 1 species